UGCAAAAUUUGAGGUCAUUCAGGCGUGGUUUGAUAGGUUUCGGCAUCGGUUAUGGAAAUUUGCAGCUUCGACAUGCUUGCUUAUGGGUAAUUUAAGUUUUGUUUGAGGGCAUAUUAGACUUUUGAGCUUAUCUGUAUACGUGCCUUUUCCAUAUUUACCCAACUACUACGUGUAGCGUUUACGUUAUUACAGAGGUGGGUUUUAUUGGAUUUGCGUACAUCAUCAGAUAUCUUCGUCUUCCUCAUCUUUUCAACUUGUGCAGGUGCUUUUCUUAUUACUUAAUAUGAAUUUUAUUGUUUUCUAUCUCUUUCUAGGUGCUGCUGAAAAUUUAAGGAGUUUGAGGAGUUUAAGAUUAUAAAUAGGUCAUUUCACAUGACCUCUAUACGUGCCCUUUCAUGCGAUGCGCAGAUACUACGUGUAGGUUUUAAGCUAUUCCCACAUGUACACUUUUCUCAUAUCAACGCUGACAGCACCCUUGCCUUGAUAAUCCUAAAGUUUUAAAUUCUUCUGUUCCUCUUCUUCAGUUCUCUACCGUUGUUUCUUUCUUGAUUUUUCCCCAUACCUUUUUGUUCUGCUCAUGGUAGUUAUACAAUAUCUGUAUACGCUUUUCUAUAUCUACCCAACUACGACGUGUAGUGUUUACGUCAUUACAGAGUGUGGGUUUCAUUCGAUUUAUGUACAUCACAAUUUACAGAGCUUCAGAUAUCUUCGUCUUCCUCAUCUCUUCAACUUGUGCAGGUGCUGCUGAAAAUUUAAGGAGUUUGAGGAGUUUAAGAUUAUAAAUAGGUCAUUUCACAUGACCUCUAUACGUGCCCUUUCAUGCGAUGCGCAGAUACUACGUGUAGGUUUUAAGCUAUUCCCACAUGUACACUUUUCUCAUAUCAACGCUGACAGCAGCCCUGCCUCGAUAAUCCUAAAGUUUUAAAUUCUUCUGUUCCUCUUCUUCAGUUCUCUACCGCUGUUUCUUUCUUGAUUUUUCCCCAUACCUUUUUGUUCUGCUCAUGGUAGUUGUCUUAUCUGUAUACGCUUUUCUAUAUCUACCCAACUACGAUGUGUAGCGUUUAUGUCAUUACAGAGUGUGGGUUUCAUUCGAUUUAUGUACAUCACAAUUUACAGAGCU